GAUGAACGCUGGCGGCGUGCUUAACACAUGCAAGUCGAGCGGAGAUAUUUUGAAAGCUUGCUUUUAAGAUAUUUUAGCGGCGGACGGGUGAGUAACGUGUGGGCAACCUGCCUCAUACAGUGGAAUAAUCAUGUGAAAACGUGACUAAUACCGCAUGUCAUUGCUGGAAGGCAUCUUCCGGUAAGAAAAGGAGAAAUCCGGUAUGAGAUGGGCCCGCAUCUGAUUAGCUAGUUGGUGAGAUAAUAGCCCACCAAGGCAACGAUCAGUAGCCGACCUGAGAGGGUGAUCGGCCACAUUGGGACUGAGACACGGCCCAAACUCCUACGGGAGGCAGCAGUGGGGAAUAUUGCACAAUGGGGGAAACCCUGAUGCAGCAACGCCGCGUGAAGGAAGACGGUUUUCGGAUUGUAAACUUCUAUCAAUAGGGACGAAAAAAAUGACGGUACCUAAAUAAGAAGCCCCGGCUAACUACGUG
rnacentral:rRNA from 1 species